ACUGAUCCAUGUGAUGUUAACAGUACGUACAAAGGUCCUUACCACAUUCCACUAUUUUGUUCGACAACAUUCACGUACUUUAUAAGAAAAACUUGCGUAAUCAUUUCAUGAAUUUAUUGCAUCCUUCGGUGAAGUAGGAUAUAUUUCUUGUAUAUAAUCACUAGAUCUAUUGUCCGCGCUUCGCGCGGAUUACAUAUUUAAGACUUUUGUUAUUGAAUAUUUAAAAAAGUUUUUACAUUUUCUUGCACAAAAAAUUGUAUGAUGUAAAGACAAUAAAAUAAAUGAUGAUAGCCUAAAGCUUUUCGUUGAUUAUUUUUAAAAUUGAUGUAAGUGGUGUAUUUGUUGGUAGGUUCCGUAUUACAUUCAUGUAAACUUUUAACCUUUUUACUUAACUGGAUGUUUUUUUUGGUAAACCAUAUCGGUUGAUCCGCUCGAUUUCGGGAGGAAUGCGUGUAGUGUAGUGUUAGUUAUAAAUUUAUACAUUAUCUUAGUAUAUGUGAAAGAUAGUAUUAUAAUAGUGUAUCCAAAGUACUUACUUAUUCAUAAUAUAUUUUUUUAUUUUAGUUUUUUAAUCCUCUUAAACCUGGUAAAUUAAAUUGUUUUAACUUAAUAACUUGACUGUUUUUUGGUUGUUCAUAUCACAUAAACUAUAAAUAAUACAUAUACAAUUAUUAUUUAAUUGGUUAAUUUAUAUUAACUUAUCUUCUAUCUAACAUGUCACUAUUUAUUAAAUAAAAUUUUAAAAACAUAUUUUAUAAGUAUGUUAUAUGUAUUAUUUGAAUUUUAUACAUAUUUUAUAAGUAUGUCAACGAAAUAUAAUGCAACAGGAUCAACCACGCAUGUCCUUGCUAAAAUAAAGCUCAUGGUUAAUAAUAAACGGACAAAGCCCACCUUACGUGCAGCUUGGCGCAUUAUUAAGCCAAUGAAAAGAAACAACUAAUUCUUCAUUUUUAGAAAAAAAAAACAGGUGCCAAAAGUGGAGCGAAGGUAGCUGAAGUUUGAGACUGAAGUGGAGUAAAACACUGGAACUUGAAAUAGUAUAGUGGUUGUCAAACAUCAAGAAAGGCAAAAAAAAAAAGUGAUCAAUUAUUUGAUAAGCAUGUGUUUUCCUCCUGUUUGCCCUCUCCUGCAAUUUCCACGAAAAAGGAAACCCUUCUUAGGGAUAUCUCCACACGCUCUUUAUAUUCUAUUGGUUAUGUGCCAUCCUGACCUGCUGUAACAAACACCCGAGGUACCACAACUUGCCUCCUAAGAGGUGGUGGCAAAUCUCCAACCAAAUGAGCUGUGCAGUCCAGUGCAUAAUGGCCUCGCUGACCACACCUCCUACACUUGUUGACUCCACCAGAACAACUCUGCUCCCUUGGUCAUCUUGGCUUGAGUACUUUUCAGGAGCUUUGCUUCCUCCAAAAGCCUGGCCUUCAUCCUGACUGAUUUCUCAACCAACUCAAUCAAGCUACCAUAUGCCCAUAUUGCACAUCGGUUGCGUAUAUCAGCUCUCAAUUCCUCCAAGAAUCUGCUAAUCGCAGAUUGUUCUCCAGUCUCUCUCACUGAGUGCAAACCUUCUGAGGCGGUUGAACUCUCGCUCAUACUCCCUAACUGACAUGGUGCCCUAAAUCUCUUGAAACUGUUCAUCGCCUCUUGCGGAAAAUACUUCCUAUUGAAUUCUUCUCUAAAGGUCUCUCAAGGGAUUUCAUAUCCAACAGGCUUGCUCCGUACCACACUGACACACAAUAUCUGCGCCUGCCCAUGCAAGUAAUGCACCGCAAGCUCCUUCUUGAACUCGGCUGGACACCUGAUUCAUAAAUUUUUUUUAUCUCCAACAGUUUUCGGUAAUCAUCUGCUUGUAGACCACCAGUAAAAAUCUCCAUCCAUAAGUCCCUCAUGCGUCUUAGUGUCUUCCAAUAUGAGAGUUGUCCUGGUCCUGGCAUCCCCGCUUACAUAAGCCGCACAUACUCACGACUUCAGAGAUGAAGUGGUGUUCACAUACCUUUAUUUGAAGGUGGUUGAGGGACUUGUACAUAAGUUGAUUAUGCACCAAUGAGUCAAAAUUGUAUUCAUUCACAUAAGACAAACACUAUACCAUGACCUAUAACCACAGUUUUAAUGAUAAAUAAUAAUCUUUCUAAAUCACUUACAAUGGUUAGACAUAUAUUUAUAUCUGCACAAACUCAAACAUGUUACAUAGAUGUGUGCGAGUGUAUGUGCCCCAUAAGGAAGACAUACGUACAUACUUUUCUGGAGCAAAUAUGUUCAAGAGAAGUGUCCAGCUGUUUCUCCAGAUUCUGGAGUUCCCUUAGGCUAAUUAAUCUAAAUCUUUUCCCACAUAAUGCCAGCAAUGAAUCCAUAUCAUCCUCACUUUUGUUAAUCCCCAAUGUUAAGUAAGAAAAUUAUUAUUUAUACAUGUUCAAUCCUAAAAUGUAUUAGUACAUUUGGUUCCUCUCAGAAAGAUCAACCCUAACAUUAAGCCUACUACAUUCCAUUGACCUGUUUGUUUGGGUAUACACAAUUAAUUCUCAGUUUGUAACCCAGUUUUAUAUUAAGAUAUUAUACAUAAAUAUAUGUUUGACAAAGAUUUGGAGACAUACAUACAUUAUGGGAAUAUGGAGCCUUUAUCUGUCUCGGCGUAUGAGUCUCUCGUUGCGUUUCAGAAACAUGGAAAACAGUCCUUUACCUGAUUCAACUUGUUCAGGUAAACAUAAACCUUUUUCAAUGGCGAUCACCAAUAAAAGUAACAAAGCAAUACACAAAAUAUAGAAGAACUACAACGUAAACUAAACAAAAAAAAGUAAAUUUCUAAUUCUACGUUGUCUUGGUGUUUAUACACUUGCUAAUUUGCUACCUAAGUUUAUUAAACCCAACUGUAAGCAACAAUAGUGGUUUUGAAAAUUAAUAAAGUGAAAUUAGAAAAGAAGCUCAAUAAUUUGCAUCAAAUAUAACGCAGAUAAGCUGAAGAUCGUUUCAGAGCUUACCAUAGAGGUCUCCCCUAUGUCCAUAGUUGGCUUCAAAACCUUCGAGAAACAAAUGGUUACACGCAGAUCAGCAAUUCGAUAGAUCUCUUUGGGCUUCGUAGCGAAGAAAUUCUUGAGGCUGUGGCUGGUAGCACGGAGCACAGUUUGAUGAAAUGAAACCUUGCAUCACAGUGGGCUGUUGGAAAAGAAAUCAGUAAGAUGUAAGGAAGUUUGAGUGAGAAUCCGCAGGAAGGAAAUUGCAGAGAAAAUCAAUCAUCCUAUUCGUUGAAGAUGAGCAGCUCCCACCACUGGCAGUGUUUCUGGCCACCCAGAGAUGGAUCAAAUUAAAGCGUAAUCCUGAUUCCGAUUAAGUCGACGAAAUAAAAUGUAACAGGAGAAUUAUCGUAGGUUGAAUCAAUUUGAUGGCCAUCGGUUGUUGUCAUCUAAUGGAUGCUGUAGAGAAUGGUUUGAUUAAACCUUUGAAGAAGAGAGGGAGUUGGAAGGUUACCUGAUUAAGAGAGAAUUAAAGAACAUGAUGAAUGAUUAAGUGUGGAGAAACAUGCAGUAAUUGAGAAACGCUGAGAGUCAGGACGACGCAGAGGAAGAGGAAGAAUCAGAGACGACAGAUCGCUUUAUGCUGAGAGCAUGACGUGGCAGGAAGGAAUGCUCUGAUUGGACAAUUUUUUAAUCUGACGUGGCAUGCUUCUUCUUUAAGCAUAUCUCCCUUUUAGUAUUGUUAGAUUUCAUGAAAAUUAUAGAAUCAGACUAGAUAAAACAUCGAAUAUAAUUUGGAUUUAAUAGCCUCGGAUCUUCGAGACAUAACUACUGUUGUUUUUAACAAUGUUUGGUGUUUUAGGUCGUCCAAAACUCAAUAGCUAUCUCCUCGAAUUUCACAUACAUAGGUCAACAUUCAGUAAGAUUUAUAUUUUUAUAGCGACAUUCAAAAUUAAGGAAAAUGAUCGUUUAUGGAUAGAGAAGAUUGCGAAACUAUUGGUAUUUUGUAUGUUUUUUUGGACAAUGUUUCAAAAUGAUAAUAAAAUAGGGUUUUCACCAGAAGAGCAUAUAAGAAGAAAAAUGAUCCACUCCAGCUCCGGCCUGGACGGCACGUACCGGCAUCUGGAGGCGACUCCUUCUUUCUCAACCGCUCUUUUUCUCUUUACUUCGCCGUGGUGUCCUUCACUCUCUCUGCUUUGAUUGUGUGCUCUGGAUCUGGAAGGCUCCAUAGAUCGUCUUUUCUGCAGGAAAGAUCCGGCCUUGACGAGUCUUAGCUAGGUUUUGGAGUGUCGUCGCGUGUUGGGUGAGGGUCUCUGGCGGUGUAGUCGGCUUUUUAGGGUUUGACAGGAGGUGUCUUAAACCUUCUGUAGGGAUGUUGGUGACUGGAUUGCUCUCUCUUUUGUUCUGGUCUCAGUCACCAUGUGGCCUUAGCUAGGCAGUGGGUGAGAGAAGUGUUGAAGCAGUAUUGUCGUUCUUUCUUGGCGUCUUGUAUUAACGCUUGCCGUUUUCACUCUCGUUGGAGAUCUGGAGGAUUCUUUUACCUCAGAGGCGGGCUCUAGCGCUUGCGGCCGACGUGGUGUCGGAGCUUGUGAUGCUUUCUCGUCGAGUGAGGCUGUGCAGCAGUGUCGUCAUUAGUCGUCUAUGGUUACUUCGAGGAUGAGUAGUCUCUUCUCUCUAAUUAGAUUGUUCUCUUCCGGGCGAUUAGUUUCAGUUAUUUUUGGGAGUCAUGUCGACUUGGUCCUAUCGGGUUCUCCACUCACUGUGUUGUUGAAUCGUGCCACCUGUUAGCUUUAUGUCAUCAAAGACUUGACCUUUCUUCGGUUCUCGAGGAGGGCGACUGGCGAGGAGUUCGGAGGGUCCUUUUGGUCUGAGGAGCUUCCUCUCCUUGGUGGCUCAGUCGGCGCUGUCACUCAUCUCAGUGCCGCGGGUCUGUUCUCUCGAUAGUGUGACAUUGCUAUACUUUUUGCAGGUCAUGGAGUGUUGGCUGAUUCUUCUCGUAGCCGACAUUCCGUUCCCGUCUUCUUGCAUCCGUCCAUGAUGAGAGGUCUUCAUCGACCGCUUAGUAUUGGGCGUCUCUUUUGGCGCUAAAGGAGCUUGUACAGGCGGGUGGUGCGAUUUUCAAAAGGUUGUGUUCUAACCCCUUCUCCUUUACUACUUGCGUGCAAAUUGGAAGUGAUGAUUAUAAGUCUGUAACUUACCGAGAGCUAGCUACUCUGGAAACGACGUGAAGAUUCCCGGCAUCCGAGGCAAUAAGGAGAACGGUAUCCGGAUUUCCUAAUGAUUUUAAAACGAGCUACCGGAAUGUGUCGGGUUUAGUGGGUUGGCGAAGGUGGUUAUGUUUAUGUUUUGAUUUGGGAAUUUUUCGUCGGCUUUGUAAUUGGACCUUAAUACCCGUUUAUCGGGAUGAUUAAUAUAUAUUUCAAUUAAAAAAAAAUGAUAAAAGAAGUUUCAUUAAAGAAAUAAAAUAUAAUUAUACUCUUA
rnacentral:lncRNA from 1 species